rnacentral:misc_RNA from 1 species
UUUAGCGGAAUUCGCUCGACUCCCAAUGUUUACAUCUGUCGACGGAAGAUGGCUACGGGGAAGGUCCUCCUCCUCCUAGUUACGUGUGCGUUGUGUUUUACUGCAGCAAUAAAGGAAUCCAAAAGCUUUGCCUAUGAGAAAGGUAUAGUUGCAAAUUUAUCUCAUUGUCCAGGCCGCUACUGUGGCCGCACAAAACUUAGAAAUGAAUCAUGGUCAGCAUGUGGAGCUUGUGAGAGAGGAUUCCGAAGUAAUCCUUUAAGUGAGUGUAAAAAAUGUAAUGAUGAACCAAAAUUGUAUGACUGGCUCUACCUUGGCUUCAUGGGGUUACUGCCCCUGACCUUUCACUUGGGCUGUAUUGAUGCUGCAGCAAAGAGAAGAACGUUCACAAAAGAAGUAAUGGCACUUUAUGCAUCAGCUGUUGUUGAGGUGGCUGUUGCAGCAGUGGCCACUUUAUUAAUCACUGACCCAGUUGGAUCCUUCAACAUACGAUCUUGCACGGAACACGGAUUGGCAGACUGGUAUCCACUUUUUCAUAAUCCAAACCCAAACUAUGAGGGGGUUUUGCACUGUACUCAGGAGGCCGUAUAUCCUUUAUAUUCAAUGGUAUUUGUAUUCUACACAUUAUGUUUGAUGGUGAUGCUUCUGAUACGACCACUACUUUCCUCAAAACUUCUUCCUGGUAGAGGAAAAUCAGCAAUUUACUCUGCCUUGUAUUUCCUCCCAAUUUUGAUAUUCACCCAUGCUGUCGGAGCAGGGCUCAUAUACUACUCAUUUCCAUAUCUAGUCAUCAUCUUAUCUGUUGUGUCAAAUGCUGCACAUUUUGCUUUUCAAUUAGAUCAGUCAAUGCCGGGUCUUCUGCUGGGAUGUAUUCGAGAUAUACGAAACUUGGUCAUCUUAAUAGGCCACUGGGGCUUGCAUGCAUAUGGCAUUAUUGCUAUCAUGGUCCUAAAUGAGAAAGAUCUUUAUGGGUCUCUCUGUGCCUUGGUUCCCCUACCAGCAGUCUUUUACAUUCUUACAUCACGGUUUACAGAUCCUUCAAACAUGAGCUAAGGGUAGCGAGGAAGGUUGGUGCUGGAUAGAACUGCGACAUCCUGGCUGUGUUGACGAGGGUUCGCGAAGAGUUUGCGAGGCAGGUGAGCCGGAUUGGCGCGUGUGGCGAAGCAGAGUGCGUGGAUACAUCUUCAGUGACUUCGUCACGAGGAUAGCACAGGCAAACGGUCACCUUCGGACGCUGUGGAGAGCGUCACGGGAAGAUCGCCAGAAGCUGAGAAAGACUAGAAUAAUUGUCAGAGCAGAGCAAGCCGCCCCAGGAUGCCUACCAGUACGCCCGUAGAUCCAGUGAAGGACCAGGAACUCGCCAGAGCAGGUAUCAUUCGCCCCAUGAUGGACGGGCGUCGCAUCUUGCCUGGACGCCGCAGAUCCACUAAACCUCCAGGAGCUCGUCACCCGAAGAGGACGCUUCCUGCCGGACCCCCGUGAUCCUGACGAGGACAACAAGGACGUCGGGACGAGCACGCAGCCGAGA